GUGGUGGUGAAGUGUAGUAGUAAGGUGGAGGAGGUGACUUAACUGGUGGUGGAGGGGAGGAGUAGUAGUAAGGUGGAGGAGGUGACUUAACUGGUGGGGGAGGGGAGGAGUAGUAGUAAGGAGGAGGAGGUGACUUAACUGGUGGUGGAGGGGAAGAGUAGUAGUACGGUGGUGGAGGUGACUUAACUGGUGGUGGAGGAGAGGAGUAGUAGUACGGUGGAGGAGGUGACUUAACUGGUGGUGGAGGGGAGGAGUAGUAGUACGGUGGAGGAGGUGACUUAGCAGGUGGUGGUGGGGACUUGUAAUAGUAAGGUGGUGGGGGAGAGGGUGAAGGGGGUGGUGGUGAUUUAUAGUAGUAUGGUGGAGGUGGUGAUGGAGAAGGUGGUGGGGGAGACUUGUAAUAAUAAGGUGGAGGUGGUGAAGGUGAAGGUGGUGGCGGGGAUUUGUAGUAAUAUGGUGGUGGAGGUGAUGGUGAAGGAGGUGGUGGUGAUUUAUAUACAUAUGGUGGUGGUGGAGAUGGUGAUGGAGGUGGUGGCGACUUGUACACAUACGGCGGUGGAGGAGAUGGUGAAGGAGGAGGUGGCGACUUGUAAACGUAUGGAGGUGGUGGAGAUGGUGAAGGAGGU
rnacentral:lncRNA from 1 species